AUCUAAAAUCAGGCCCGGAACUACGUAUUUGGAUGGUUAAACCACGGAAAAAAAAAUUCUUAUCUAACCAAGGGAUGCUAACUAGUGGUAGAAAUAGAAUUUGGGACAGGAGUAACUAGCUAAGCCUUAAAAAAAAAAAAAGGACAAAAAGUGUAAUUGGUGACCAAAGAAAAAAGAAUGAACACAUUCGAUUCCUUAUGGUUUUCAUAAAAAUACAUCAUUCAUGAAGAAUUAUUUUUUCUUUAUAUUCCUCAUCAUUCUUUUUUUUUGUAGAGCAUAACAAAGCAAAAUUAUUCUUCAUUAUAUUUGAGGAAGAACAAUAAUUCCCACUUACUCUUUUAAUUUUAUUCCUGUUUGUUCCUUUUUUAUUUGUUUUUAGUGUUUCUCAAAUGUCAGGAGUCACUCCAAAAAAGUAACUCCCUUGGUUCUGUGCCAUGGGUUCUAUGUAUCCAGCCGCAGACUAAAUUGUUAUUUGCUUAGCUAAAGGAUAUGAGACUUUUGUGGUGAUGUGGAGUGCUUGUGAGAGAUGUGGAGCGCUUGGUCAUAAGGAGAAGAGGUGUCUUCUGCCCCAUAAACCACAUGAUUCCGCUCCUGCGAAAGCUAAUAUAACAAAUGAAGAAAUCCCUUUGGUGGCGAUAGAUAUGUUGCUACCAAACUCAUCCACAUUGGUGGGUGCUGUGGAGACUGACUCGCACUUGACUCCUGGCCAUCAAGCACACAAGAUCACUACAAAUUCUGCUCUCACUACACCUCUUGAGGUCCCUGCUCCUACUACAUUCACCCAUUCGCAUGAGGAUUUAUCCCCGCUAACACAUGGGAGAGAUGAUGGUUUAGGUGAGGUUGGAGAGACUUCUGGUUAUAACAUAACUAGAGGAGGAAGACUGAUUAAACCGACUCAAAAAAUUCAAGAUAUGGAAUGGAAAAAUGUUAGAGGAAAAGGUAAACGAGGUCGUCGCGGCCGAGGGAACCAUGUACACUAGCGAUUGUCUUUUUCUUUAUCUUUCUCUCUUAAGAUUCACUUGUUGAUCUUUCUCUAGGAUGUUCUCCCACUCUCUAUUUGUUGCUUUCUUUUUCAAACUUAUGGGUGAGAAAACUCAUUCAUACCUUGUAUUUUUACUUAUGCAUUUUAAUAUGAAAGCCUUGUUACAAAAAAAGGAUAUGAGACUUUCAUUCAAAACCUGGGUUCGGACUAUUCAUCGGUAGUAUCCUCAUAUGGAGAUUUGUUGGGUUUUGGUCAAGAUACCUCCUACCAAUUAAAAAACAUUUGUUAUCUGUAAACCAUUAUACUAAAGUAAGAAUUUGAUGCUCUAGCCUUGCCAUGUGAAAAGCUUAAAUACACGCUCAACAUGAAUGUGAUUCGUUUCGCAUCAGAUUCUUCCAUGUUCACCAUCCUUACCGUUGUUUUCCCUAACCCUCUUGUUAAAAUCUCCUCCAUGAAGCUUGAUGUAAAUAAAAAAGAAGCUUUCUGUCUUUAAUUCCACUGGGAAUAUCGUAGCAAUUUGCAGUGACAGUGACGACAUCAUUAUACGACACUGCUAAAUAACGUAAGAAAUAAGGAACCAGCAACAAGCUAACAAAAGUCUAAAUGUAGAUUGGAAAAGGAUUGGAUAAUAUUUCCACACAAGUUAUGUUGCUGUUCACACAUAUAAUUAUCUUGCAAGAUAGAGAUAGAUAGAGUGGGUGUACAUAAUUAUUUGUUGCUAAAGUCUUUUUAGGCCAAGUCUACAGAAAACAAUAAAAUAUUAGGAAGCAUAAUAAUUGUUUAUUUGGAAUAAAUAUAUCACAUUAAACGACUAAUAAAAGGAAAAAAAAUUGGACAAAAUUUGGAGAUACAGUACCUGCUUAUGAAAACAGAUUUUUAAUUUUCAAGUUAAAUCUUUCAAAAUAUAUAUAAAUAUCAAUUAUAUUAAUAUUUUGAUUAGAAAGCAUUUCAAAAUUUUGAGGAAUCAUUUAUGUAAAAGUUUUUCAAAAUAGCCAAAGAGGAAGAUAUCAAAAUAAUAUUUUGACAGAGAUUUUUCAAACAUUUGAAAUGUUCUCUGAUCAAAUAUUAAUAUACUUUUUAUUAUAUUUCAAAAGUCCAAUUUCAAAAUUCUCCAAAAUAAUGAUAUUCUGAAUGUUUUAAAACAUUUUAUACUCGAAAACAUGAUAUAUUUUCUCCAUGUAAUUACAACCACAUAAAUUAUGUUUGAAACAGUUGUGUGGGAUUAAAUAGCUUCAAGGGAAACUAGAAAUUGAACAUAAAUUUGUGACAUUUCUUUAGAGCACUUUUUAUCGUGUAUUUUCGUAAAAUGAAGUUUUCAAUAGAUAAAUAUUAGUAUUAUAAUACAACUUCUGAUUUUAACUAAAAAUAGUUUCUUUUAAAUAUUUAAAUAAAUAAGAAAGUGACACAUGUAUUCUAAAAUAUCUCAAUAGGUUCUUACAAAUCCUGUUUUGAAUUUUUUUUCUUUAUCUCUCUCCAAUUUUUCCCUUUUUAGUUAAUGAAUUACAAUUAAAAAUAGAUUUUUAUGGAGUUCUUGCAAUUAAAAAAAAAAAAGAAGGAAGAGAAAAAUGAAAAGUUUUAAAAACUCAACCUUUUAAAAUCCAUGAUCAACUAUAAAUAACACAUGUCACUUAACUAACAUUUCAUAUAUUAUAGAAAAAUCAAAACAAAAAUCUGAAAUUAUAAUACUAUUAUUAUUAUUAUUUUAGAUAUUUUCAUGGUAUCAAACCAUUGAGGUUGCUCUAUCGACAAAUGAAUUUUCUUUUAUAUAUCAGUCCGGCAGCGUUAUAUGUGGAAUUUUUUUUUCUCUAGGACACUUUAUGUCUUUUGUAUUACUCAAUAAGACACUUCCUGCUUGCCACACACAUUAUGGUUGUGUAAAGUCUUUCAUGCCCUCAUAUUUGACAAGACUACACAAAGACUAACCAGAGAAAACUAACCAUGGUUCUUUCUCUUCUCUUCUCAAUACUUUCUUUAUUUUAAAUAAACAAAAGACUUCUUCUCUCUAUUAUUUCGAAUCUCAAAAUCAUUUUUCCAAAUCCAUGAAUUUUAAUCUCACUGAUUUCUCUUUCACCUCUAGUUUCAUUUCAUUUCAAAACCAACCAUGAUGUCUCACCAGAUGAUGUAUGCGCCUCCUUACUCUCCUUAUCAACACUAUAAUUAUUUGUAUCAUCAUCACCAAUCUCGUGGUGGCAAACAUAAAAACGCUGAGAACGUUGAGAACUGGAUCGAUUAUUUUGCUUAAGUGGAUGGAUGAUAGUUACCUUAAUUGUUUGUUUUCUUUCGUUGGAGAAGUAAGUACGUGCUUCACUCUUAUUUUUUCUCUUUUCAAAAAAAAAAAAUUGUGUGUUUCCUUGUUUAUGUACAAAGUCUUGUUAUUUUAUGGAUUAGAUUUAUUUUGUUCCUUGAUGGUUUUGUUCAUUGUUUGGCUGCUGUAAUCACUUUUGAGUUUUGAAACAAAGUGUGUAAAAUAACUUAAUUUAUUGAGAAAAUAAUUUGAAUGUUAUAUGGACAAAAAAUCAAAAUGGAAAAACACAAAAAACACAUUCAAGUUGUUCGACGAAAUGCUCUAUAAAAAUAUGCAUGUCCAUAAAACGGUGUCCACACAAUCCUAUAUGAUAUAUAGAAAUAUGUAUAUCCACAAAAUAGUGUCUACAAAACCUCGUUCACAAAAACUCGUUCACAUGGACAUCAAAAUUUAUUAUAAAUUUACAAAAAAAUAUAUACAUUAUGGAUAUCAAAAUGUAGAAGAGAAAAAGUUAUAACUUAUUUUAUACAUUAAUAUAGAUUUUAUACAUUAUAAUUUGUAAUAAUGACCAAAAAAAUAUGUUGGGAAUGUACAUAAACACUACACGGUAUGCAUAAAGCACUUGUUCACAAAUACUAAGAAAUUAUGUAAGAUGAUUAGGAAUAUAAGAACUUGUCCAAGAAAACACAUCCAUGAAACUUAGUUUAUGAAACUUCAUCCACGAAAAUUUUAAAGAGAUUUUCUACAUUUUUUUAUCCAUCCAUGUCCACAUCUUUUUAUGUUCAAGUAUUUUUUUUAUAUGUUCACAAUUUUGCAUCCACACUUCUUAUGUCCAUACAUUUUUUUUAUAUAAUUGUUGAAAUAUAUAAAAUAUAUAUAUGAAAAUGGAUGUUAAAAUAUAGACAAAAACAAAUUAUAAUUUAUUGUAAUAAUUAUACUUUCUUCAAAUGUCUUAAACUCUGAGAAAAAAACAAAUAAAAACAUAAGAACUUUGCAAAAAAACAAAGAAAAA